rnacentral:misc_RNA from 1 species
UCCUGGUUAACCCAGGCAGUCUCGUUAGAGUUCCCACCUAAAUGUUGGCAACUAACGAUAAGGGUUGCGCUCGUUGCUGGACUUAACCAAACACCUCACGGCACGAGCUGACGACAGCCAUGCAGCACCUGUGCAGCGGCCCCGAAGGGAGACGCCAUUUCUGGCGCUGUCCACUGCAUGUCAAGUCUGGGUAAGGUUCUUCGCGUUGCAUCGAAUUAAACCACAUGCUCCACUGCUUGUGCGGGUCCCCGUCAAUUCUUUUGAGUUUCAGCCUUGCGACUGUACUCCCCAGGCGGCAUACUUAUCGCGUUAGCUACGGCGCAACCGGGGUUGAGUCCAGUUACACCAAGUAUGCAUCGUUUAGGGCUAGGACUAC